rnacentral:rRNA from 1 species
GGAGAUAGCUGGUUCUCCCCGAAAGCUAUUUAGGUAGCGCCUCGUGAAUUCAUCUCCGGGGGUAGAGCACUGUUUCGGCAAGGGGGUCAUCCCGACUUACCAACCCGAUGCAAACUGCGAAUACCGGAGAAUGUUAUCACGGGAGACACACGGCGGGUGCUAACGUCCGUCGUGAAGAGGGAAACAACCCAGACCGCCAGCUAAGGUCCCAAAGUCAUGGUUAAGUGGGAAACGAUGUGGGAAGGCCCAGACAGCCAGGAUGUUGGCUUAGAAGCAGCCAUCAUUUAAAGAAAGCGUAAUAGCUCACUGGUCGAGUCGGCCUGCGCGGAAGAUGUAACGGGGCUAAACCAUGCACCGAAGCUGCGGCAGCGACACUAUGUGUUGUUGGGUAGGGGAGCG